rnacentral:rRNA from 1 species
UAAGUGACUAAGCGUACACGGUGGAUGCCUUGGCAGUCAGAGGCGAUGAAAGACGUAGUAACUUGCGAUAAGCCCAGAUUAGGUAGUAACAACCAUUUGAGUCUGGGAUUUCUGAAUGGGGAAACCCACUUACAUAAGUAAGUAUCAUUAACUGAAUACAUAGGUUAAUGAGGCGAACCGGGGGAACUGAAACAUCUAAGUACCCCGAGGAAAAGAAAUCAACCGAGAUUCCGAAAGUAGCGGCGAGCGAAAUUGGACUAGCCCUUAAGCUUUACACGCGUUAGACGAACGGUCUGGAAAGUCCGACGAUACAGGGUGAUAGUCCCGUAGUUGACGACGUGUGUUCAGUGAAAUCGAGUAGGGCGGGACACGUGAUAUCCUGUCUGAAUAUGGGGGGACCAUCCUCCAAGGCUAAAUACUACUGACUGACCGAUAGUGAACCAGUACCGUGAGGGAAAGGCGAAAAGAACCCCUGUGAGGGGAGUGAAAUAGAACCUGAAACCGUGUACGUACAAGCAGUAGGAGCAGGCUUUGUCCUGUGACUGCGUACCUUUUGUAUAAUGGGUCAGCGACUUAUAUUCAGUGGCAAGGUUAACCAUCUAGGGGAGCCGUAGGGAAACCGAGUCUUAACUGGGCGUUCAGUCUCUGGAUAUAGACCCGAAACCAGGUGAUCUAGCCAUGGGCAGGUUGAAGGUUGAGUAACAUCAACUGGAGGACCGAACCGACUAAUGUUGAAAAAUUAGCGGAUGACUUGUGGCUAGGGGUGAAAGGCCAAUCAAACCUGGAGAUAGCUGGUUCUCCCCGAAAGCUAUUUAGGUAGCGCCUCGGACGAAUACUACUGGGGGUAGAGCACUGUUAAGGCUAGGGGGUCAUCCCGACUUACCAACCCUUUGCAAACUCCGAAUACCAGUAAGUACUAUCCGGGAGACACACGGCGGGUGCUAACGUCCGUCGUGGAGAGGGAAACAACCCAGACCGCCAGCUAAGGUCCCAAAUUACUACUAAGUGGGAAACGAUGUGGGAAGGCUCAGACAGCCAGGAUGUUGGCUUAGAAGCAGCCAUCAUUUAAAGAAAGCGUAAUAGCUCACUGGUCGAGUCGGCCUGCGCGGAAGAUGUAACGGGGCUAAGUAGUAAACCGAAGCUGCGGCAAUGUGCUUUUGCACAUUGGGUAGGGGAGCGUUCUGUAAGCGGUUGAAGGUGUGUGGUAACGCAUGCUGGACGUAUCAGAAGUGCGAAUGCUGACAUGAGUAACGAUAAAGGGGGUGAAAAACCUCCUCGCCGGAAGACCAAGGGUUCCUGUCCAACGUUAAUCGGGGCAGGGUAAGUCGACCCCUAAGGCGAGGCCGAAAGGCGUAGUCGAUGGGAAACGGGUUAAUAUUCCCGUACUUCUUACAAUUGCGAUGGGGGGACGGAGAAGGCUAGGUGGGCCUGGCGACGGUUGUCCAGGUUCAAGUGCGUAGGCUUAAGAGUUAGGUAAAUCCGGCUCUUUUUAAGGCUGAGACACGACGUCGAGCUACUACGGUAGUGAAGUCAUUGAUGCCAUGCUUCCAGGAAAAGCCUCUAAGCUUCAGAUUGUAAGGAAUCGUACCCCAAACCGACACAGGUGGUCGGGUAGAGAAUACCAAGGCGCUUGAGAGAACUCGGGUGAAGGAACUAGGCAAAAUGGUACCGUAACUUCGGGAGAAGGUACGCUCUUGAUGGUGAAGUCCCUCGCGGAUGGAGCUGACGAGAGUCGCAGAUACCAGGUGGCUGCAACUGUUUAUUAAAAACACAGCACUGUGCAAAAUCGUAAGAUGACGUAUACGGUGUGACGCCUGCCCGGUGCCGGAAGGUUAAUUGAUGGGGUUAGACUUCGGUCGAAGCUCUUGAUCGAAGCCCCGGUAAACGGCGGCCGUAACUAUAACGGUCCUAAGGUAGCGAAAUUCCUUGUCGGGUAAGUUCCGACCUGCACGAAUGGCGUAAUGAUGGCCACGCUGUCUCCACCCGAGACUCAGUGAAAUUGAAAUCGCUGUGAAGAUGCAGUGUACCCGCGGCUAGACGGAAAGACCCCGUGAACCUUUACUACAGCUUGGCACUGAACAUUGACCCUACAUGUGUAGGAUAGGUGGGAGGCUUUGAAGCACGUACGCCAGUAUGUGUGGAGCCGUCCUUGAAAUACCACCCUUGUAGUGUUGAUGUUCUAACGUCGACCCCUUAUCGGGGUUGCGGACAGUGCCUGGUGGGUAGUUUGACUGGGGCGGUCUCCUCCCAAAGAGUAACGGAGGAGCACGAAGGUGGGCUAAUCACGGUUGGACAUCGUGAGGUUAGUGCAAUGGCAUAAGCCCGCUUGACUGCGAGAAUGACAAUUCGAGCAGGUGCGAAAGCAGGUCAUAGUGAUCCGGUGGUUCUGAAUGGAAGGGCCAUCGCUCAACGGAUAAAAGGUACUCCGGGGAUAACAGGCUGAUACCGCCCAAGAGUUCAUAUCGACGGCGGUGUUUGGCACCUCGAUGUCGGCUCAUCACAUCCUGGGGCUGAAGUCGGUCCCAAGGGUAUGGCUGUUCGCCAUUUAAAGUGGUACGCGAGCUGGGUUUAGAACGUCGUGAGACAGUUCGGUCCCUAUCUGCCGUGGGCGUUGGAAGAUUGAAGGGGGCUGCUCCUAGUACGAGAGGACCGGAGUGGACGAACCUCUGGUGUUCGGGUUGUGUCGCCAGACGCAUUGCCCGGUAGCUAAGUUCGGAAUCGAUAACCGCUGAAAGCAUCUAAGCGGGAAGCGAGCCCUGAGAUGAGUCUUCCCUGAUACUUUAAGUAUCCUAAAGGGUUGUCGGAGACUACGACGUUGAUAGGUCAGGUGUGUAAGUGCUGUGAGGCAUUGAGCUAACUGAUACUAAUUGCCCGUGAGGCUUAACCA